UCGAGAAUCUUCGGCAAUGGGCGAAAGCCUGACCGAGCGAUGCCGCGUGCGGGAUGAAGGCCCUCGGGUUGUAAACCGCUGUCAGUUGGGAGGAAGGCUCCGUGAAGAGCGGAGUUUGACCUAUCUUCAGAGGAAGUACGGGCUAAGUUCGUGCCAGCAGCCGCGGUAACACGAACCGUACGAACGUUAUUCGGAAUUAUUGGGCUUAAAGGGUGCGUAGGCGGCGCUGUAAGUCGGGUGUGAAAUCCCACGGCUCAACCGUGGAAUUGCGCCCGAUACUGCAGUGCUUGAGGGAGACAGGGGUGAGUGGAACUGAUGGUGGAGCGGUGAAAUGCGUUGAUAUCAUCAGGAACACCGGUGGCGAAAGCGGCUCACUGGGUCUCUUCUGACGCUGAGGCACGAAAGCUAGGGUAGCGAACGGGAUUAGAUACCCCGGUAGUCC
rnacentral:rRNA from 1 species